AUUGAACGCUGGCGGCAUGCCUUACACAUGCAAGUCGAACGGCAGCACGGGUGCUUGCACCUGGUGGCGAGUGGCGAACGGGUGAGUAAUACAUCGGAACAUGUCCUGUAGUGGGGGAUAGCCCGGCGAAAGCCGGAUUAAUACCGCAUACGAUCUACGGAUGAAAGCGGGGGACCUUCGGGCCUCGCGCUAUAGGGUUGGCCGAUGGCUGAUUAGCUAGUUGGUGGGGUAAAGGCCUACCACGGCGACGAUCAGUAGCUGGUCUGAGAGGAGGACCGGCCACACUGGGACUGAGACACGGCCCAGACUCCUACGGGAGGCAGCAGUGGGGAAUUUUGGACAAAGGGCGAAAGCCUGAUCCAGCAAUGCCGCGUGUGUGAAGAAGGCCUUCGGGUUGUAAAGCACUUUUGUCCGGAAAGAAAUCCUUGGCCCUAAUACGGUCGGGGGAUGACGGUACCGGAAGAAUAAGCACCGGCUAACUACGUG
rnacentral:rRNA from 1 species